UUAUCACUUAUGGUUUACCAUUUAGAAAUGCAUAUCACUUAAUUAAAUGGAAAAGGGGGAAUAACUCUCAUAUGGAGUCUCCGUAAAGCUUCGGUCCAAAUGAAUAUCCUAAUCCUGAAGAUGUAACAAGCAAUUUGGUAAAAUAAAUUUGUCGUAAUCUUUAACGGUUGCGAAGGAGUAGUGGCCACAAGAAAAACAGUGUUUGGGGAGAUAACUCUUACAACGUAAAGUAUUUUGCUACACAGUUGUAAAGUUUUAAAGCGUAUAAACUAUACGAUACCAUAUUCCAAAUAUCUAAGCGACAUCUUUUGAAACAUCAAUAAUACGCAAGAAAAAAAAUUAGGCGG
rnacentral:lncRNA from 1 species